GGGCUCCUUCGGGAGCACCGGCGGACUGCUCAGUAACACGUGGACAACCUACCCUCGGGUGGGGGAUAACCUCGGGAAACUGAGGCUAAUACCCCAUAGGCCUCGGAUACUGGAAGGUUCCGAGACCGAAAGCUCCGGCGCCCGAGGAUGGGUCUGCGGCCUAUCAGGUAGUUGGUGGUGUAAAGGACCACCAAGCCUACGACGGGUACGGGCCCUGAGAGGGGGAGCCCGGAGAUGGACUCUGAGACACGAGUCCAGGCCCUACGGGGCGCAGCAGGCGCGAAACCUUCGCAAUGCGCGAAAGCGCGACGAGGGGAGCCCGAGUGCCCUUCCUUUCGGGAGGGCUUUUCUGGAGCCUAAAAAGCUCCAGGAAUAAGGGCUGGGCAAGACGGGUGCCAGCCGCCGCGGUAAUACCCGCAGCUCGAGUGGUGACCACUAUUAUUGAGCCUAAAGCGUCCGUAGC
rnacentral:rRNA from 1 species